rnacentral:rRNA from 1 species
GACGAACGCUGGCGGCGUGCUUAACACAUGCAAGUCGAACGAAGUGGCGAACGGGUGAGUAACGCGUAAUCAACCUGCCCUUCAGAGGGGGACAACAGUUGGAAACGACUGCUAAUACCGCAUACUGAAGGAGGGGAUUGCGUCUGAUUAGCUAGCGGGGGGGGUAAUGGCCCACCAAGGCGAUGAUCAGUAGCCGGUCUGAGAGGAUGAACGGCAACAUUGGGACUGAGACACGGCCCAGACUCCUACGUGAGGAAGCAGUGGGGAAUUUUGGACAAUGGGCGCAAGCCUGAUCCAGCCAUGCCGCGUGUCUGAAGAAGGCCUUCGGGUUGUAAAGGACUUUUGUCAGGGAAGCGGUACCUGAAGAAUAAGCACCGGCUAACUACGUGCCAGCAGCCGCGGUAAUAC